rnacentral:rRNA from 1 species
CCUACGGGGGGCUGCAGUGGGGAAUAUUGGACAAUGGGGGCAACCCUGAUCCAGCCAUGCCGCGUGUGUGAAGAAGGCCCUCGGGUUGUAAAGCACUUUCAGUGAGGAAGAACGCCUGGUGGUUAAUACCCAUCAGGAAAGACAUCACUCACAGAAGAAGCACCGGCUAACUCCGUGCCAGCAGCCGCGGUAAUACGGAGGGUGCGAGCGUUAAUCGGAAUUACUGGGCGUAAAGCGCGCGUAGGUGACUUGAUAAGCCGGUUGUGAAAGCCCCGGGCUCAACCUGGGAACGGCAUCCGGAACUGUCAAGCUAGAGUGCAGGAGAGGAAGGUAGAAUUCCCGGUGUAGCGGUGAAAUGCGUAGAGAUCGGGAGGAAUACCAGUGGCGAAGGCGGCCUUCUGGACUGACACUGACACUGAGGUGCGAAAGCGUGGGUAGCAAACAGGAUUAGAUACCCCAGUAGUC